UCUACCACUGUGAACACCCAGAGAGAGGAGAGUCACUGAAAAGCUGGGUCUCAGUCAGACCUUCAGUUCCUUCAGGUGUAGAAGCUCCAUUCUCAGUGCUCAUGCUGAUCUGUAGUGUGGUGACGGCCUCUCCGUAUCUGCUGGUGACCAUCAUUCUGCUGCUCAUAUGUUACAGAGCUCGAGAUCACACUGAUGAAGACAGAAUUGAGAAUGCAGUCAUAGAGGCUUGAGCAAAAUUCAUCUAUAAAAAUAAGAUACAUUUACUAUAAUAUAUAUUAUUCCAGAAUUUCUUUUUCUUUAUGGUUUUGUGUGGAUUUUAAAACAAUACUGAUUUGUCAUUUAAAUGUCCUGCUGUUAUUUGCUCAUCAUAUUAUAGACACCCUCAUUGUUGUUAAUGGCUUUGUUUAGUUAAUGUCUGCAACCUCCUGAUGAGGUGAAAAUUACUGUGUUCAGUAAUUUUUUACAGCCAGCUUUUUUAUGCAAUAUAAAAAUGUUAUCUGAAAUAUGGUGCUAAUAUUGUGUUUUGUGUCUUCACAGUAUUAGUUCUACCACUGCUGCAUUUGU